rnacentral:lncRNA from 1 species
UGUGGCAAAUUAUUGACCUCUCUUUUUUAGCCUUCCAAAUUUAUCCUGGGUUGUGGGAGUUGGAAAGAGAGAAAUCUUCUCAGACUCAAGAGGGUUUGAUUUGCAGCCUUAGAAGAAGCCUAGAUGGAUGUGAAAGCAAGUACAGACCAAUAGCAACAGGAGAGAGAUAUCAGAGCACCCUGCAAACUGGAGACCGUGGGCACUGUCCUAGGAAUUGUGAAAGCUGGAGCUGA